rnacentral:rRNA from 1 species
UACGUAGGGGGCAAGCGUUGUCCGGAAUCAUUGGGCGUAAAGAGCGCGUAGGCGGUCCGGUAAGUCCGCUCUGAAAGUCCGGGGGCUCAACCCCGGGAGGCGGGCGGAUACUGUCGGGCUAGAGUCCGGAAGAGGCGAGUGGAAUUCCUGGUGUAGCGGUGAAAUGCGCAGAUAUCAGGAGGAACACCUGCGGUGUAGACGGCUUUCUGGACCAUUGCUGACGCUGAGGCACGAAAGCUAGGGGAGCAAACAGG